UACGUAGGGUGCGAGCGUUAAUCGGAAUUACUGGGCGUAAAGCGUGCGCAGGCGGUUUUGUAAGUCAGAUGUGAAAUCCCCGGGCUUAACCUGGGAACUGCGUUUGAAACUACAAGGCUAGAGUGUAGCAGAGGGGGGUGGAAUUCCACGUGUAGCAGUGAAAUGCGUAGAUAUCUGGAGGAACACCGGUGGCGAAGGCGACAUCCUGGACCGGUAUUGACGCUGAGGCGCGAAAGCCAGGGGAGCAAACGGG
rnacentral:rRNA from 1 species